rnacentral:rRNA from 1 species
AGGAUUAACGCUGGCGGCGUGCCUAACACAUGCAAGUCGAACGAGGUAGCAAUACCUAGUGGCAGACGGGUGAGUAACGCGUGGUCAACCUACCGUUGAGUGGGGGAUAACUAGCCGAAAGGUUAGCUAAUACCGCAUACGUCUCCGAGGGGCAUCCCUUGGCGAUAAAAGGAGCAAUCCGCUCGAUGACGGGACCGCGUCCCAUUAGCUAGAUGGUGGGGUAACGGCCUACCAUGGCACCGAUGGGUAGCUGGUUUGAGAGAGCGACCAGCCACACUGGGACUGAGAAACGGCCCAGACUCCUACGGGGGGCAGCAGUGAGGAAUUUUCGUCAAUGGGGGCAACCCUGAACGAGCAACGCCGCGUGCAGGAAGAAGGUUUUCGGAUCGUAAACUGCUUUUCUCGGGGAAGAGAACGGACGGUACCCGAGGAAUCAGCCCCGGCUAACUACGUGCCAGCAGCCGC